rnacentral:rRNA from 1 species
AGCUCCAAUAGCGUAUAUUAAAGUUGUUGCAGUUAAAAAGCUCGUAGUUGGAUUUCUGGCAGGAGUGACCGGUCACGCACUCUGUGCGUGAACUUGUGUUGUCUCUGGCCAUCCUUGGGGAGAUCCUGUUUGGCAUUAAGUUGUCGGGCAGGGGAUACCCAUCGUUUACUGUGAAAAAAUUAGAGUGUUUAAAGCAGGCUUAUGCCGUUGAAUAUAUUAGCAUGGAAUAAUAAGAUAGGACUUCGGAACUAUUUUGUUGGUUUGCGUUACGAAGUAAUGAUUAAUAGGGACAGUUGGGGGUAUUCGUAUUUCAUUGUCAGAGGUGAAAUUCUUGGAUUUCUGAAAGACGAACUACUGCGAAAGCAUUUACCAAGGAUGUUUUCAUUA